UACGUAGGGGGCGAGCGUUGUCCGGAGUUACUGGGCGUAAAGCGCACGCGGCGGUCUGCUAAGUUUGGAGUGACAGUUGGUGGCUUAACUGCCAAAGUGCUUCGAAAACUGACAGACUUGAGGGCUUCAGAGGGACACGGAAUUCCGGGUGGAGUGGUGAAAUGCGUAGAGAUCCGGAGGAACACCAAAGGCGAAGGCAGUGUCCUGGGGAGUACCUGACGCUCAGGUGCGAAAGCCAGGGGAGCGAACGGG
rnacentral:rRNA from 1 species